rnacentral:tRNA from 1 species
CAGAAAAUAGUUUAAAUAAGAAUAUAAACUUUGGGAGUUUAAGAUAGGUAUACUUUUUCUGA